rnacentral:misc_RNA from 1 species
AUGAAUUGUAAUCGGAGCUGAUGCUGGCGGCUUGGCUGCAUGUGCUCGCUCUUAACAAUCUUUAUCCAAACACCUGUGCACAUUUAGAGAGGGUCUCCGAGUUCUCCUUGGAGUCCCUUCCUCUCAUUAUACACCCACAUACAAAGUUAUAGAAUGGAUAAUGUUAUAGCGUGUAAUAGCGCGAAUAUAUA